rnacentral:rRNA from 1 species
CCCUUAGAUGUUCUGGGCUGCACGCGUGCUACAAUGGCGCUUGCAACAAGUCUUGCCAACCCGAUAGGGUGAGCGGAUCUUUGAAGAGGCGUCGUGAUCGGGACAGUUGAUUGCAAUUAUUCGACUCGAACGAGGAAUUCCUUGUAAUCGCGAUUCAUCAUAUCGCGCUGAAUACGUCCCUGCCCUUUGUACACACCGCCCGUCGCUCCUACCGAUUGAGCGAUCCGGUGAAUGUUUUGGACUGGCGUCAGAAGCGGUUCGCUCCGGACACUACGAAAUUUUGUAAACCUUAUCGCUUAGAGGAAGGAAAAGUCGUAACA